rfam:Gossypium raimondii Chr05_contig_791, whole genome shotgun sequence.
AUCAAUGAGUCUAACAUGUGUGUGAGUCAACAGGUUAGAAAACCCAUAAGGUACAAGGAAGCUAAUUGGAAGGAUCCCUCGCGGGUGUACCGUCGAUCGACCUUGAUCUUCUAAGAAGGGUUAGAGUGAGAACAUGCCUAUCAGGACAUGAAAGAUGGUGAACUAUGCCUGAGCGGGGCGAAGCCAGAGGAAAAUCUGGUGAAGGCUCGUAAUGAUAUUGACAUGUAAAUCUUUCGUCUGACUUAGGUAUAGGGCAAAAGACUAAUCAAACCGUCUAGCAGCUAGUUCCCUAUGAAGUUUGCCUCAAGAUAGCUAGAGCCCUUAGUGAGUUAUAUCGGGUAAAGCCAAUGAUUAGAGGCAUUGGGGGCGCAACGCCCUCGACCUAUUCUAAACUUUAAAUAGGUAGGAUAGCACAGGUGCUUCAAUGAGCCAUGCCAUGUAAUCGAGAGCUCCAAGUGGGCCAUUUUUGGUAAGCAGAACUGGAAAUGCGGGAUAAACCAGAAGCUGAGUUACGGUGCCCAAUUGCAUGUUAACCUAUAACCCACAAAGGGUGUUGGUAAAGAGUGUGUAACAACUUACCUGCCAAAUCAGCUAGCUUCAAAAAUGGAUGGCGCUUAAGUGCACAACCUAUACCUAGUCGUCGAGGCAAAGGCUAGGCCUCAUUGAGUAUGAGGGCGCAGAAGUCACCGAAAAACUCGAUGUGAGAGCCCGAGCGGAGUGGCCAUCGGUGCAGAUCUUGGUGGUAGUAGCAAAUAUUCAAAUGAGAAAUUUAAAGGCCGAAAAAGUGAAAAACUCCAUGUGAACGACACUUGUACAUGGGUUAGUCGAUCCUAAAAGAUGGGGGAAGCUCGUCCGAUAGCCUGUCCAGCGCGAGCUUCGAAAGGAAAUCAGGUUAAAAUUCCUUAACCAGGAUACGGUGUUGACAUUAACGUUAGAGAGUCUGAAGACGUUAGCGGGGGCCUCAGGAAGAGUUAUCUUUUCUAUUUAACAGCCUGCCCACCUUGGAAAUAGCUCAGCCGGAGGUAGGGUCUAGCGAUCGGAGGAGCACCACUUGUCACGUGGUGUCCAGUGUGCCCCCGAUAGCCCUUGAAAAUAUAAAAGACUGAGUCAUGUUCGUGUUUAGUCGUACUCAUAAUCGCAUCAGGUCUCCAAGGUGAAAAGCUUCUGGUC